rnacentral:rRNA from 1 species
UACGUAGGUGGCAAGCGUUAUCCGGAUUUAUUGGGCGUAAAGGGAACGCAGGCGGUCUUUUAAGUCUGAUGUGAAAGCCUUCGGCUUAACCGGAGUAGUGCAUUGGAAACUGGGAGACUUGAGUGCAGAAGAGGAGAGUGGAACUCCAUGUGUAGCGGUGAAAUGCGUAGAUAUAUGGAAGAACACCAGUGGCGAAGGCGGCCUGCUGGACGAUGACUGACGUUGAGGCUCGAAAGCGUGGGGAGCAAACAGG